AUGAGUCUCCACUCAGUGCAGAGGCAAACAUGCAUCUCACACAGAAAUAAUGCAGAACCAGCCAUCUUGGGCACCCCGGGCACUCUCAGGUCGAUGCACAAAACCAACGCUGAGCGUGGCCCUGACGUCUGCGUGUUCGCAUCACUCCACGCACAUUGCUCGGUCAUCUCCUCGACACUUGAGAGGGUGCUCUGUGUAGCCAGUUCCACCUGCAGCAGCAUGUGUUCCCUCCGCCGAUUCCAUCUGGAGUGUGAGCCUGCCUUGUGUUGAGGCGCAGCCACCUUUCAGGGAGGAACUGUGUCUUGUUCGCAUAUGUCUCCUGUGGUGUAUCUCAUGGCUGAAUAAGUACCUAUAGGAUAUCUCGGUGUCUGAAUGAUAGGUUCAUUGGAAGGAAAACUUUAUACUUUUUUUUCUUUUUGAGAUGGAGUUUCACACUCAACGCCCAGGCUGAAGUGCAAUGGCACGAUCUUGGCUCAUUGCAACCUGUCUCCCUCCCAGGUUCAAGUGAUUCUCCUCCCUCAGCCUCCCAAGUAGCUGGGGUUACAGGCAUCUGCCACCAUGCCUGGCUAAUUUUUGUAUUUUCACUAGAGACGGGGUUUCACCAUGUUGGCCAGGCUGGUCUUAAACUCUUGACCUCAGGUGAUGCACCCACCUCAGCCACCCGAAGUGCUGGGAUUACGGCCAUGAGCCGCCGCACCCAGCAACUUAAUACCCCACUUUUUUUUUAAUCAUAAUGGGCUUGUUAAAUGCUUACGCUAAUGUUUAUUUUUUAAAAUGUUAUCUGUGACCUUUCAGGUUUUCAUAGCAUUUCUCGUGUGAAAAUUUUAAAAAGGCCCUUUAGUUGUGGAGCGGGGGGAGAAGGGGUUAUCCCUUUCAGCAGAGGGAGAUGGAGGAACCAGGCCCUGGUGGGUCUGAGCCCAGGCAGUCACCCCAGCCUUGGUGCUUACUUAGGUCUGUUCUCCGUUCACCGUAGCAGCGUCCACUCUCAUUGUCAGCAUAAGAAUAAGCUUUUUCCUCUUUCUAUCCAGAACAGUUUGUUAACCAUCAAGUUAAGGUGUCGAGAAUGAUGGCUUUCAGGCCUCAGAUAUGACACAAGGAGUAAAUACAGCUGACACUGAACGACAUGGGUUUUGAGCUUCGAAGGAUCACUUAUGUUAAUUUUUUUUUUUUUUUCCAACCAAACCCUUAUUGACGAAACCUGACUUUGUGGAGGGCCGAUGUUUCCCACAUGUGGUUCCAUAGGGUGGCCGCAGGGUCCUGUGGAUACGUA
rnacentral:lncRNA from 1 species